rnacentral:lncRNA from 1 species
GUGCAAUGCCGCGAUCUCGGCUCACUGCAACCUCCGCCUCCUGGGUUCAAGCGAUUCUCUUGCCUAAUCUUCCUGAGUAGCUGGGAUUACAGGCACCUGCCAUCAUGACCAGCUAAUUUUUGUAUUUUUGUAGAGACAGGGUCUCACCAUGUUGGCCGGGCUAGUCUUGAACUCCUGACCUCAGGUGAUCUGCCUGCCUCAGCUUCCCAAAGUGCUGGGAUUACAGGCGUAAGC